rnacentral:rRNA from 1 species
GGUUGUCCUGGGGUAAGCAUGUAGGGCGGAACGUAGGUAAAUCCGCGUUCUAUUCAGCCUGAGAUGUGAUGCCGAGCCGAUUGUGGUGAAGUGGAUGAUCCUAUGCUGCCGAGAAAAGCCUCUAGUGAGUGUUGUGGCGGCCCGUACCCUAAACCGACUCAGGUGGUCAGGUAGAGAAUACCAAGGCGAUCGGGUGAACUGUGGUUAAGGAACUCGGCAAAUUGCCCCCGUAACUUCGGGAGAAGGGGGACCUCUGCUGGUGAUGGGCUUUACGUUCUGAGCUGGUGGGGGUCGCAGUGGCCAGGGGGAAGCGACUGUUUACUAAAAACACAGGUCCGUGCGAAGUCGUAAGACGAUGUAUACGGACUGACGCCUGCCCGGUGCCGGAACGUUAAGGGGACCGCUUAGCCAACGCGAGUUGGCGAAGGUGAGAACUUAAGCGCCGGUAAACGGCGGUGGUAACUAUAACCAUCCUAAGGUAGCAAAAUUCCUUGUCGGGUAAGUUCCGACCUGCACGAAUGGCGUAACGACUUCCCCGCUGUCUCAACCACAGACCCGGCGAAAUUGCACUACGAGUAAAGAUGCUCGUUUCGCGCAGCAGGACGGAAAGACCCCGGGACCUUCACUACAGCUUGACAUUGGCGUUUGGAACGUCUUGUGUAGGAUAGGUGGGAGACUGGGAAGCUGUCACGCUAGUGAUGGUGGAGUCAUUGGUGAAAUACCACUCUGGUCGUUUUGAACGUCUGACUCUGGUCCGUGAUCCGGACCGGGGACAGUGUCUGGUGGGUAGUUUAACUGGGGCGGUUGCCUCCUAAAGAGUAACGGAGGCGCCCAAAGGUUCCCUCAGCCUGGUUGGCAAUCAGGUGUUGAGUGUAAGUGCACAAGGGAGCUUGACUGUGAGACUGACAGGUCGAGCAGGAGCGAAAGCUGGGACUAGUGAUCCGGCAUCGGCGUGUGGAAGCGGUGUCGCUCAACGGCUAAAAGGUACCCCGGGGAUAACAGGCUGAUCUUCCCCAAGAGUCCAUAUCGACGGGAUGGUUUGGCACCUCGAUGUCGGCUCGUCGCAUCCUGGGGCUGGAGUAGGUCCCAAGGGUUGGGCUGUUCGCCCAUUAAAGCGGUACGCGAGCUGGGUUUAGAACGUCGCGAGACAGUUCGGUCCCUAUCCGCUGCGCGCGCAGGAGACUUGAAGGGGGCUGUCCCUAGUACGAGAGGACCGGGACGGACGAACCUCUGGUGUGCCAGUUGUACCGCCAGGUGCACGGCUGGUUGGCUACGUUCGGAAGGGAUAACCGCUGAAAGCAUCUAAGCGGGAAGCUCGCCUUGAGAUGAGGUCUCCCACCCCGUGAGGGGGUAAGGCUCCCGGUAGAUCACCGGGUUGAUAGGCCGGAGGUGGAAGCACGGUAACGUGUGGAGCUGACCGGUACUAAUAGGCCGAGGACUUGACCAC